CAGCCGCCGCGGUAAUACGAAGGGGGCUAGCGUUGCUCGGAAUCACUGGGCGUAAAGGGUGCGUAGGCGGGUCUUUAAGUCAGGGGUGAAAUCCUGGAGCUCAACUCCAGAACUGCCUUUGAUACUGAAGAUCUUGAGUUCGGGAGAGGUGAGUGGAACUGCGAGUGUAGAGGUGAAAUUCGUAGAUAUUCGCAAGAACACCAGUGGCGAAGGCGGCUCACUGACCCGAUACUGACGCUGAGGCACGAAAGCGUGGGGAGCAAACAGGAUUAGAUACCCCGGUAGUCCCUGUCUCUUAUAA
rnacentral:rRNA from 1 species